CAAAAUGAUGCCCAACAAUCGACAAAAUUAAACAUAGGUCAACAAAUUUGAACAAAAAAAAAUCAACAAAUUAGCAUUUUCAAUAACAUAUUACAUACCCAAGAACAAAUUAUAAAUCUCAACAAAUUACAUUUCAAGAACAAAGAAAAAUCAAUCAUGUAGAGUAAACCCGCUACAGCUGUUGAUGUGCAUUUCGUAGAGGUGUCAAUGCCAAAAAAAUUACAAGUCAAGAUUGUCGUUUUUCGGUAGUGACAACACCACAAGCUGGAAACACAUGAGUGACCAUAAGUGAUGCUUGAAGAGAUGAAGAGAGGGACGGGCGCUGAUGCUUGAAGAUGACGCAAGAUGGUGUGAUGCACAGAGCUGGUUUUCAAAGAAAAAAAAUAUAUGGAACAAGACGAAGAAUAGAAGGAGAAGAAUGGAGGUGUGAUUAGCCUAUUAGGGCGGCGACUAAGGGGGCGG
rnacentral:misc_RNA from 1 species